CCUACGGGAGGCAGCAGUGGGGAAUUUUGGACAAUGGGCGCAAGCCUGAUCCAGCAAUGCCGCGUGCAGGAUGAAGGCCUUCGGGUUGUAAACUGCUUUUGUACGGAGCGAAACGGCUUCCCUUAAUACGGGGAGCUAGUGACGGUACCGUAAGAAUAAGCACCGGCUAACUACGUGCCAGCAGCCGCGGUAAUACGUAGGGUGCGAGCGUUAAUCGGAAUUACUGGGCGUAAAGCGUGCGCAGGCGGUUAUAUAAGACAGAUGUGAAAUCCCCGGGCUCAACCUGGGACCUGCAUUUGUGACUGUAUAGCUAGAGUACGGUAGAGGGGGAUGGAAUUCCGCGUGUAGCAGUGAAAUGCGUAGAUAUGCGGAGGAACACCGAUGGCGAAGGCAAUCCCCUGGACCUGUACUGACGCUCAUGCACGAAAGCGUGGGGAGCAAACAGGAUUAGAUACCCUGGUAGUCCACGCCCUAAACGAUGUCAACUGGUUGUUGGGUCUUCACUGACUCAGUAACGAAGCUAACGCGUGAAGUUGACCGCCUGGGGAGUACGGCCGCAAGGUUGAAACUCAAUAAUUUUGGACGG
rnacentral:rRNA from 1 species